UUAAGUAUGGUCGGCCCUUCCGUCUACAUAAUCUAGACAUGGGUUUCCUUAGUUGUUCUCUAUCUCGCGCUUUCUCACCUGCAUAGUGUGUACACAGUCAGGGCUGAAUCAUUGAAAAUUGGGGUCAUUGUGAACUUAUUGUAACCAAUUUCAUUGAAGGUACUUUCUAUUCUAUUUGUGGAAGGAGUGUAUAAAAUAUCACCAUCUUUGAGUAAAAACACAUUAUUUGCAAUGCAAAAUGUUAGCAUUUGAGUUCUCCUUAAGGUGGCAAUAUUUAAGCAUUUUUCCUUGGUAAAUAAAUUAUGUUUGCUCACUGAAAAAUAUCAAUGCCUUUAUUUAUUGCAACUGCAUGAACAAAUGAAGUUAUUAAUUUAUUUAUCCUUUAAGUAUACUUUAAUUUAUUAAUCCCACUCUUCGAAGAAGAGAGGGUAUAUUGUUUUGCUAGAUGUCUGUCUGUCGGUAGACCAGAUAGUUUCUUAUCAAUAACUUGUUAACAUAUUGACCAAUUGCCUUGAUACAUCCCAAUUGCAUUGGCCUUUGCCAGUAUUUGACCCUUAUUGAAAUUGGGUCAGUUGGUCAUAGGUCAAGGGCACUGUCACACUAAGAGUGAAAAUUGUUUCCGAUCAAUAAUGUGUAAACGGAGGGACUCAUGAUUGGCUUGAUACUUCCCAUAUGCAUUGACGUUGGACAGUAGAUGAACUCUAUUGAAAUGUGGGUCACUAGGUCAAAGGUUAAGGUCACUGUCACUAAGUGUGAAAUCGUUUCUGAUCAAUAACUGGUAAACUGAUUCAUCGAUUGGCUUGAUACAUGUGCAUUGGACUUGGACAGUAGAUGACCCCUAUUAAAAUUAGGGUAACAAGGUCACUGUCACCAAAAGUGUGUAAAUCGUUUCUGACCAAUAAUUUAUCAACAAAUUGACCGAUUGGCUUGAUACUUCACAUGUGUAUUGGCCUUGGAUAGUUCAUGACCCCUAUUGAAAUUUGGGUCACUAGUUCAAAGGUCAAGGUCUCUGUGAAAUAAAGUGUUAAAUUAGUUUCCGUUCGAUAUGUCAUCAAAGGAUUGAGUUAUGGUUCAAAAACUUUUCAAGUGCAUUUACCUUGAACAGGAGAUAAUCCUGUGUCAAGGCCCUGUUUGGGGGGCAUCUGUCUCCGACUAGGGAGCUCUUCUUUCAAUAGCUAUAGAAGUGGAAAUGUGAUAAACAAUUCCAAAAAUGGGCAUAUGUUACUGAAAAUUACAACACUCAGUCUUCUUGCUUCAUAUCCUUGAUUUCUUACGUAUAGUUCCUCAUUUGAUUCUUUUUAUUUCAUUUGAGCCCUGGGGCGGUAUAUGGUGGCAAAACUCAUCUUGCUUUUUUAAUGAUUUAAUUUGUUAUUGUUUCCUGGUUUGCAAUCAGUGCACAAAAUUUGAAUCACUACACUGAUUUGGCAUUAGAUAGACUUUUUAUGAAAUAAAAUGUUAAAUGUCUAAAUACAGUCCAACCCCUCUUAAGCAGCCAGUCAAGGGAAACGGCCAAACUGGCUGCUUAAGGGGGGUGGCCUUUUAAGAGGGGGUUGGGUCAUAGGGAGUCUAGAGUUGAUGAGUGCAUGGCCAACUGUUCAAUUUUUGUAUAAACAAAAUGGUAAAUAUGUGUACAUGUACUAAACAAUGUAUAGACUUAAAAUAAUUUUAUUUCUUCCUUUCUAAAGUCAGCUAUAAAACAACAUUUCCAUUCAAAAAAAUAUUCUAUUCAUCUUUCUAAUCAUCAUCAUCAAUAUCAUCCUCAUCAGAAUCAAGUCAAUAAAAAAGAAUCAUUCUCAUGAUUCGUUGUUUACAGAAUGCGCGUUAUAUGGCCCCAUUGCACUUAAGAUGGGAACAGUUGUGAAUCAGUUAUGCGUGAAUAACUCCUGUGUCACUAUCAAUCAAUCGAUAAUUUAAUUGGUUUAUUGCAGUUUUAUGUCUUUGUAAUACCUACCGCACAAAUUGGUUCCGACAGUGAUCUCCUCCACGAUAAAAUCGUGUCAAGUAACUUAAGAGACUGAUAAUAGCAACCAGGUGUAAUCCUACUGGAAAUCGUGCUUUUUAUGCAUGAUAUUAUAAAAACAUUUAUUUCGAGGCGUAAAUGGUUUUAUCAAAAUUAAUAUUGAAAUCAUUGUAAAUAUAAAACAAAUAUAAAUGUUUUGUUAAAUUCCCAAAUGAGAAUCAUAAUUUGUAAUCCGAAACACACUCCGGAUUGAUUUAUGUUUACGAGACAUUUACAAAUUCUAGCAUCUAAUAAGUCCUCAUGUAUUUCCUUUGUCCCAACAAAAGCGCGCGAAAAUUAUGCACCAAUGUACAAUGUCACGUCAUACCCAUGCCUGCGUGUAUUGAUUUUUUUGGAUAAAAACUUUGUAGCACAGAGAACAUGUAGAGCAGUUGAUAUCGGUUAAAAGUUGCGUUGUUCUUUUUAACUUUUAAUUAGCUGAUAAUUGUCAUAAAUGUGUGCUUGAAAUAGUAUGAUUCAACAGCUACAAAUAAUCAAUUAUAAAUCAAGAUUUUUUUUCCAGUACUUAUAGAUUAUAUUCGCAUGUGCGGAAACAAAAAGAUCAAACGGUCGCAUAUUGCUUUUAACCCGAUAAUCUGCUGCUAAUUAAUUGCAAUUUGCAAACUGGCCGUCAAAAUGUUUAUCACGCACCACGCUUCAGUACUGCAGAGCCUAAACCGCAGACAGGAAUAUGUAUGGAUUUUUUUGCCGUUGCGUCGGUGUAAUUUUGCCAGUGUACAUAAGUGACUUACUCGCGCGUGAUCACUCAUAUGGGGGGGAAUUUAACAUUUGGGAUUCAAAAUUGCUGGCUGCUGGCUGGAGAAACGGGGUUACCGCUAAAGAGGGGUGCAUUAUAUAGUGUUUAUCAACGGUCACGGCACAGACCGGCCGCCUACAAGGGGCGACCGGCGUUAAGGGGUGACAGGAAGUAGGGGUUGGACUGUAGCCGCUCUUGUUUUAUUGAAGUUUAAGUAAUUAAUUGAAUUUUGCAAACUUUAUAAAUUACAAAUUUUCUUUGUACAUACAUAUAAGAAGAAAAUAUAUUACUCACAUGAUAAAACUGUAAAUGAUCAAAUGUUGUUGUAAAUUAAAACAUUACCGUAAUAAGAUCAGUCAUUUUACAUAAAAAUAUCCAUGACUGCUCAUGUACACUGUAACUCCAAUAUAACGCGGAUGACGGGGUCCAAGCCACGCAACAGCGUUAUAAACGGACAGCGUUAUAAGUUUUGAGCUUAUUUAUUUAAGGGGCUAUAAAAACAGGUAAAGUAUAGCCUAUAAUACAGGUCCUGUGCAUCGUCAUGCUGUGUUGUCAUCCGCAAAUACAUGCAUAUAAACCGAAUCGAACGAUAACAGUAUUCAUACCGCUUUUCUAAUGUGCACAUUUAUCCCAUAAUCCAAUAUAAUUACAUCACUUACGAAAAAAUAAUGUUUAACGUUUAUGACAAGAAAUAUGUUUACGAACUUCGUCAACAAAUUCAUAUGCCUACGCCAUUUUUCAAAAAAAUUAGUACAGUGCAUUAUGGGACACAGCUUUCAUUGGACGAGCGAAUUUAAAUUUAGAUUGAAUGCAAUACGAUACAUGUACAAAUAAAUGUUUUAUUGCGUCAUACGCAGCAUGUAAAAAACGUGCUUUCCGUGGACUUUCUGAUAACGGGCGAAAAUUUAAGUGCAUCUCUGUUAACUAUUACACUGCGCUAGCAUGUAAAUAAAUUGUCAGGAUUUUUAAAUUUAUUUUUCGUAUACGUACUGAAACAUUAAACACACACAAAGAUAUUUUUAUUUAUCAAGCAUGUGUAGCAUAUAAUAAACGAUAACACACGCAGCCAUAGUUUAUACAAUAAAAUACAAUACACGAUAAAUACAAUACAUAAACAGGUAAUCGUUUAAAAUAACUUUAAUUUGAUAAUUAUUCCGCUUGCACUUGCCUUAUUGAAAUUAGCGCACCGAACCGCUCUGAUAGGGAAUACAUGUAAUAAACACCGACUCGCGAGUUUUCACACCUUUAUUGACAUUACACAACAGAUUAACACCAAUUAGCUGUCGAGUGUCGUUUAACCUCUAAUCGAUUAAAAUCAGUUAAAUGGACGGAUAAAGCAAUCAAGCUGUGAUUGCCGACUUCUUUGAAUUUAUGAAAAUACAUUGUUGCAUAACAUGGAUUUGAAUCAGUAUGGAAGGUUGGAGAAAAAAAACGGAUCCAAGGACCCCCCGCGUUAUAUUGGACACAGCGUUAUAACGGACCGCACUAUAUUGGAGUUACAGUGUAUAUCAACUUUUUUGAGCCAUCUGUGUAGUGUAUUUAAGUUGUCAAACUGACCAAUCAGCAUCUUUGACCAUGUGGCUUGCAUGGUCUAUUAUAUCAUGUAUUCAUCUCCUCAUAAUGAAAUAUGUUUGCUUACCUUUUGACUUUCAUAAUUAAGUGGUUAAAAUAUCAUUUGUCAGAGAUAUUGAAUGAUAUAUUAUUGUAAUAAUAUUGUAACCAGUAAAGACAACAUGUUUGUAUCCUAGAAUCACAUAUAUUGGGCAUCUAUACGGAUGUAUUGCAUCAAUAUCCAGCAGUUUUAACUAUAAGAAAACCAAUGACUAUUAUACAUAAAUGGAGGUGUGUUUUAAGCAAUGUCAUUUUUAGCUCACCUGAUUGCUCAGGUGAGCUUUUGUGACCGGUCUUUGUCCGUCGUAUGUCUGUCUGUCCGUCCGUUAACAUUUGCUGGUAAACACUCUAGAGGCCACAUUUCUUGUCCCAUCUUCAUGAAACUUGGUCAGAAGCUUUGUCCAAAUGAAAUCUCGGCCGAGUUCGAAACUGGGUUGUGCCGGGUCAAAAACUAGGUCACUGGGUAAAAAAAAACAACACCUUGUAAACACUGUAGAAGUCACAUUUCAUGCCCAAUCUUCUUGUAACUUAGUCAAAAUGUUUGUCUUAAUAAUAUCUUGGUUGAGUUAUAAAGUGGUUCCAAUCCGAUGAAAAACAUGGCCGCCAGUGGGCGGGGCAGUUUUCCUUAUUUGGCUAUAGAGAAACCUUGUAAACAUUCUAGGAGUCACAAUUUUUGCCCAAUCAUCAUGAAAGUUGGUCAAAACAUUGGUUCAAUUGAUGUCUCAAACGAGUUCGAAAAUGGUCGAGAUCAGUGAAAAAACAUGGCUGCCAGUGGGUGGGGCAUUUUUCUCUAUAUGUAUAUAGUGGCAUUUUUCUGUAUUUGGCAAUAGAGAAACCUUGUAAACACUCUGGAAGUCACAAUUUUUGCCCAAUCAUCAUGAAAGUUGGUCAAAACAUUGGUUUUUGUUGAUAUCUCGGACAAUUUUGAAAAUGGUAGGGAUCGAUGAAAAAACAUGGCCACCAGUGGGCGGGGCAUUUUUCUCUAUAUGUAUAUAGUGAAAACAUGUGAACACAGUAGAAGUCACAUUUUUGGCCCAAUUUUCAUGAAAUUUGCUCAGAACAUUUGUUUCCUUGAUAUGAGAGUUGAGUUCAAAGAUGGUUCCGGUCAGUUGAAUAACAUGGCUGAUGGGAGGGGGGCAGUUUUCUCAUUAUGCCCUCCCCCCUCCCCUGUUUCCAAGAAGAGGGGGUAUAUUGUUUUGCUCAUGUCGGUCCGUCCGUCCACAAGAUGGUUUCCAGAUGAUAACUCAAGAGCGCUUAUGCCAAGGAUCAUGAAACUUCAUGCUAGGUACAUUGAUCAUGACUCGCAGAUGACCCCUAUUGAUUUUCAGGUCACUAGGUCAAAGGUCAAGGUCACGAUGACCCGAAAUAGUAAAAUGGUUUCCGGAUGAUAACUCAAGAACGCUUAUGCCUAGGAUCAUGAAACUUCAUAGAUACAUUGAUCAUGACUCGCAGAUAACCCCUUUUGAUUUUCAGGUCACUAGGUAAAAGGUCAAGGUCACGAUGACCAGAAAUAGUAAAAGGGUUUCCGGGUGAUAACUAAAGAACGCUUAGGCCUAGGAUCAUGAAACUUCAUAGGUACAUUGAUCAUAACACGUAGAUGACCCAUAUCGAUCUUCAGGUCACUAGGUCAAAGGUCAAGGUAAGGAUGAACCGAAAUAGUAAAAUGGUUUCUGGAUGAUAACUCAAGAACGCUUAGGCCUAGGAUCAUGAAACUUCAUAGGUACAUUGAUAUUGACUCGUAGAUGACCCCUAUUGAUUUUCAGGUCACUAGGUCAAAGGUCAAGGUCACGGUGACCCGAAAUAGUAAAAUGGUUUCCAGAUGAUAACUCAAGAACGCUUAUGCCUAGGAUCAUGAAACUUCAUACGUAUAUUGAUCAUGACUCGAAGAUGACCCCUAUUGAUUUUCAGGUCACUAGGUCAAAGGUCAAGGUCACGGUGACCUGAAAUAGUAAAAUGGUUUUCAGAUGAUAACUCAAGAAGGCUUAUGCCUAGGAUCAUGAAACUGCAUAGGUACAAUGAUCAUGACUUGCAGAUGACCCUUAUUGAUUUUCAGGUCACUAGGUCAAAGGUCAAGGUCAUGGUGACCUGAAAUAGUAAAAUGGUUUCUGGAUGAUAACUCAAGAACGCUUAUGCCUAGGAUCAUGAAACUUCAUAGGUAUAUUGAUCAUGACUGGCAGAUGACCCCUAUUGAUUAUCAGGUCACUAGGUCAGAGGUCAAGGUCACAGUGCCAAAAAACGUAUUCACACAAUGGCUGUCAAGGUCACCAUGACUCAACUUAGAAAAAUGGUUUCCGGAUGAUAACUCAAGAAUAGGUACAUUGAUCAUGACUCACAGAUGAAAUAAUGAUGAAAGUUGACCCGGAUGUUUGUUUGGACAAUAUCUAGGUCAAAUUUGACAUUUGGUAAAUAUUGAAUGAACCGACUCCUCUCAGGUGAGCGAACGAGGGCCAUCUUGCCCCUCUAAUUUCUUCAUUUGUAAUAAUGUCAUUAAAAAUUUGGUCUAUUUGAUGUUUUGAUUGGUAUGAAAAAAACAAAAAAAAAGUAUAGUUUUAAUUUUAUAUAAAGCAGUUUUAAUGGCAUGGACUCUAAAGAUAAUGUCAUGUAUUAAGAGGAAUCAAUUAUUGGGUGGUCUAAAAUGUUCUUGCAGUUAUGGAAAUAUUUUGUAAAGUCAUAUUACACAUGUUGGAUCAAAUGAAAUUGUAAAAACAACCACAUUAUUCUCCUUCAGACAAUUAUCACAGAGUUCACACGAAUUUUCAUUUGAGUUCAAUUAAGAAUUGAAUAUCAAUUUUUUGCCUGCAAAGCAUCUGUGUAUAAACACACAGCCUAAGUCAUGGAUCAGUGUUUACAGAUGUAUUUCACAAAUGUGAUUUAAAUGGAAUUCAAGCUUCAUUCUAUUCCCCAUUACCUUAUCAUUUCAUCGUUGCUAGGCAUGUGCUGCGUUUUAUUGAAAUCCCAACUUGAAUGUUGUUUUGUUUGUAUAGAAAUGUGUGGAUUGCCUAGUGUUGUCUGUUGUCCUAGUGUCCCAAAACAUUUAUUUCUUCUUAUUUUGUGAUGUUCAUGCCACCACUGUGUCAAAACUGUUGUUGGAAGAGUAAUUACAGCAAAAAACAAAGUAGGCCUAGUAUGAGAAUUUUUAGCUCACCUGAUUGCUCAGGUGAGCUUUUGUGACCGGUCUUUGUCCGUCGUAUGUCCGUCCGUCCGUAAACAUUUGCUUGUAAACACUCUAGAGGCCACAUUUUUUGUCCCACCUUCAUGAAACUUGGUCAGAAGCUUUGUCCCAAUGAAAUCUUGGCCGAGUUCGAAACUGGGUUGUGCCGGUCAAAAACUAGGUCACUAGGUAAAAAAGAAAAGAAAAACCUUGUAAACACUGUAGAAGUCACAUUUCAUGCCCAAUCUUCAUGUAACUUUGUCAAAAUGUUUGUCUUAAUGAUAUCUUAGUUGAGUUCAAAAGUGGUUCCAAUCCGUUGAAAAACAUGGCUGCCAGUGGGCGGGGCAGUUUUCCUUAUUUUGCUAUAGAGAAACCUUGUAAAGAAGUCACAAUUUUUGCCCAAUCAUCAUGAAAGUUGGUCAAAACAUUUGUUUAAUUGAUGUCUCGGACGAGUUCGAAAAUGGUCAAGAUCGGUGACAAAGCAUGGCCGCCAGUUGGCGGGGCAUUUUUCUCUAUAUGUAUAUAGUGGCAGUUAUCCCUAUUUGGCUACAAAAAAACCUUGUAAACACUCUAGAAGUCACAAUUUUUGCCCAAUCAUCAUGAAAGUUGGUCAAAACAUUGGUUUUAUUGAUAUCUCGGACGAGUUUGAAAAUGGUUGGGAUCGGUGAAAAAACAUGGCCGCCAGUGGGCGGGGCAUUUUUCUCUAUAUGUAUAUAGUGGCAGUUUUCCCUAUUUGGCUAUAGAGAAACCUUGUAAACACUCUAGAAGUCACAAUUUUUGCCCAAUCAUCAUAAAAGUUGGUCAAAAUAUUGGUUUUAUUGAUAUCUCAGACGAGUUUGAAAAUGGUCGGGAUCGGUGAAAAAACAUGGCCGCCAGUGGGCGGGGCAUUUUUCCCUAUAUGUAUAUAGUGAAAACAUGUGAACACAGAAGUCACAUUUUUGGCCCAAUUUUCAUGAAAUUUGCUCACAACAUUUUUUUUCUUGAUACAUGAGUUUGAGUUCAAAAAUGGUUCCGGUCAGUUGAAUGACAUGGCUGCUGGGAGGGGGGCAGUUUUCUCAUUAUGCCCCCCCCCCCUUUGAAGAAGAGGGAGUAUAUUGUUUUGCUCAUGUCUGUCCGUCUGUCCCCCAGAUGGUUUCCGGAUGAUAACUCAAGAGCGCUUAUGCCAAGGAUCAUGAAACUUCAUAGGUACAUUGAUCAUGACUCGCAGAUGACCCCUAUUGAUUUUCAGGUCAUUAGGUCAAGGUCACUAUAUCCCGAAAUAGUAAAAUGGUUUCCGGAUGAUAACUCAAGAACACUUAUGCCUAGGAUCAUGAAACUUCAUAGAUACAUUGAUCAUGACUCGCAUAUGACCCCUAUUGAUUUUCAGGUCAAAGGUCAAGGUCAUGGUUACCCAAAGCAGUAAAAUGGUUUUCUGAUGAUAACUCAAGAACGCUUAUACCUAGGAUCAUGAAACUUCAUAGAUACAUUGAUCAUGACUCGCAGAUAACCUCUAUCGAUUUUCAGGUCACUAGGUCAAAGGUCAAGGUCACGAUGACCCAAAUAGUAAAAUGGUUUCCGGAUGAUAACUCAAGAACGCUUAUGCCUAGGAUCAUGAAACUUUAUAGGUACAUUGAUCAUGACUCGAAGAUGACCCCUAUUGAUUUUCAGGUCACUAGGUCAAAGGUCAAGGUCACGGUGACCUGAAAUAGUAAAAUGGUUUCUGGAUGAUAACUCAAGAACGCUUAUGCCUAGGAUCAUGAAACUUUAUAGGUUCAAUGAUCAUGACUCGCAGAUGACCCCUAUCAUUUUCAGGUCACUAGGUCAAAGGUCAAGGUCACGGUGACCUGAAAUAGUAAAAUGGUUUCUGGAUGAUAACUCAAGAAGGCUUAUGCCUAGGCUCAUGAAACUUCAUAGGUAUAUUGAUCAUGACUCGCAGAUGACCCCUAUUGAUUAUCAGGUCACUAGGUCAAAGGUCAAGGUCACAGUGCCAAAAAACGUAUUCACACAAUGGCUGUCAAGGUCACGGUGACUCAACUUAGAAAAAUGGUUUUCGGAUGAUAACUCUAGAAUGCCUACGCCUAGAAUCAUGAAACUUCAUAGGUACAUUGAUCAUGACUCGCAGAUGAAAUAAUGAUGAAACUUGAUCAGGAUGUUUGUCUGGACAAUAUCUAGGUAAAGUUUGACAUUUGGUAAAGAUUGAAUGAACCGACUCCUCUCAGGUGAGCGAACGAGGGCCAUCUUGGCCCUCUUGUUUCUUUUUUGUGUAAAAUAUGUAUAUGACAAAAUAAAGCUUUGCCCUGGUUUUUAAUUAUUUAUAAAGCAAACCAUAUUUGUUUGCUAUAACUAGUUUAUAAAGGAUAAAAAAUUCAUUACAAUUUAUUAAACACACAUGCAAAAUUGGUAACUUUCCUUAUCAAAUACAUGCUCUUUUAUCUGCCAGUUGUGAAACACAGAGUUACAUGAUUACUGUUGUUUCCUAUUUGUAUAAAAUCCGUAGGCUACUAAUGCAUGAAACUAUUGCUGGAUGCUUAUAGUGGGGUAGAAAUUACAGAUUGACUGGAAUGAAUUCUGUUGAAAGUUGUGUGUUGGAAAAAUCACAUUGUCAUCUCAAAAUCACAUUUUCAUUUCUCAUAGUUGUUUUUGUAUUCAUUUGUAUGAAAAAUACGUGUACAACCUAAACAUUAGGUUAAUAGGUCACAUGAAUUGUCAUCACAUCUUUCCAUUAUCUCUACAGAAUGAUUACGGCUGAAACCCAAGAUGUAUUUGUUCUUUUUACUUAAUCACUAACACUGCAGAAGUCCUGUUAUAAUCAUUGUUCCUUUUUGGUACAUAAUGCUUUUUUCUUUUGACCUGAAGCUUUAUAUCGAUGGUUUAGCUUGAAACUGUUGCAUUUGCUUAACUCUUACAUGUCAGAUACAGUAGUUUCAAGCUCAAUCCUUGAUAUAGCAAUAGCCUCGUUCUUGUAUUGGCUUUAUUUUCAGCCCUCAUAGUUGAUAGCUAGUUCUUAGAACUAACCCCUCACCCAGUUAGUUCAGUUUUCAGGCCAUGGCGAGGUGAUACCACACAAGACUUUCAGCUUUUUUUUAUGCGUAAGCAACACACACAUGCACUCUGAUGUGUUGUUGUUUUUUCUUGUAAUUUUAACAAAUAAAA